rnacentral:lncRNA from 1 species
AAUGUCUUAUAUUACUUUACAGAGGGAGUACAUUAUUACUUUCCUAAAACAUUGCAUGCAAACCAGCAGUUUUCUAGGCAAAAGCCCCGCUAGAAGUAAUAAUACAUCUAUCACUUUCAUAGGUACACCAAUAUGUCUGUCAGCCAUAUUAUAUAGUAACACAACCAAGGUGCGUGGCCAGAACACCUACAAAUGAGUCUUCACAAGUCCUGUACAAAGUAGUUAUAGAAGCACACUCCAAGCCUCAUGCCCCUGACCUGAAAAAGGGGCGACGAGUGGUAAGGUGAAAGGGCUGCUGACUACAAAAUUUAUAACACUACACUGCUCCAAAAUCAUUUCUGAUCAUAACAAUCAUAUGCAAAUUGACAUUUGAUUAGAGCCAUAUAACCGAGGCAUAAUUACAUUUGUGAAAAUCAUUCACACGACUUUCAGGAGACGUGGGGAUCCUCUUUGAAUAAAGAAUACUCCUGAGAUACAUCUGCAUAAGCUUCUUACUACAAAAAUGAACUAAGGUUUUCACUCUCCAACUCCAACAAACUGAUAGCAAGUAAUUCAGAGAACAAGGAGGUAACCAAAUACUGUAUAUGCUACCAGCAUAUGUUUUCAGCCAAAUACACAAAGAACAGGGGAAGCAAAAUACUGUAUACAUCGAAUGGCUUGGUGUGUAUAGACGAGUAGAAGGAAGAUGUGGUGAAAAUAGCAGAACCUGAAUCAGCUAAUAAUCGUGUCAAUCAAACUAUAUCAAAAAAUGAAGAGAAAACACACUCACCAGUUAUAAUAUAAUAACACAAUCAACACAAACACAUGCCACUAAUGGGGGAUAUAGCAUCCGAGGUUGCAGUUGUAAAGGGGGCAAGGCACAGCCUAUCCACCGAAGACUAGGCACUAUUCAUCCACAGAUGUUCAUAAUGGCAAAGGGGCAAAAAGGUUUACUGAUCAAAUCAGCUGUUUGAGUUUCAGUGUAUUCAAAAUCCUGCUGCUGAUAUAGCAUAUUAGGCAUUUCAUUACUCAAGAUUGUUUAGCUAGAUGCAGUUAUGCUGAAUUUACCAUUACCAAACCAAUCUUGGGAAAAAUGGCAUAAUAAUGCUAGUAGGCAGUAGUACAUGAAUUAGUAUUACUGCAGAAUUGCCUUUGUUGUACUUCAAACAGUGAUAAUCAGUUUGCAAGCAGAUAUGGCAAUAACCUUUUUAAGAUCUUCAGUCAACCUGCGUAUAUAGCCUUAGGCAUUUCUUUCAUGAAGAAUUGUUAAUCCAGAUGUGUAUUCAUAUUAUAUUCAAAAACCUAAGGAAAAUAAGAAUCUUUGAGAGGAAAUAUUAAGGAAUACAAACACAUACGACCCUUUUGGUCCAGCGAAUUUUUUUAUGACAAAAGAGGUUUCAGUACAAAGGAUAUUUUUUGAUCCAUUCAGAAAUUUGUACAAAGUGAACAUGAAUAUACUCAUUAUACCAGGAGAUAUCACUCCGGUAACCAAAUCACGCUCGCUCAAGUCCUAAUUUUCACUCAAACCGAUCGCAACUGGACAAUCUACCAGCUUGUUUUCAUAGAAGAACAGUUCAGAUACCUCAACUUGCAUGCAGAAGAUAAACUUACCUGCUGAAGCAAUACAUCACAACAGCAUAUCUAAGAGAGCAACUGUCUUAUGUAUUGUCUCCAUCGAGUCCACCAAGCAUGCCUUACAACUUCAACUCGUCCGUUUCCACCUCUAAUGC